GCGGGACACGUGGUAUCCUGUCUGAAUAUGGGGGGACCAUCCUCCAAGGCUAAAUACUCCUGACUGACCGAUAGUGAACCAGUACCGUGAGGGAAAGGCGAAAAGAACCCCGGCGAGGGGAGUGAAAAAGAACCUGAAACCGUGUACGUACAAGCAGUGGGAGCCUCUUAAUGGGGUGACUGCGUACCUUUUGUAUAAUGGGUCAGCGACUUAUAUUCUGUAGCAAGGUUAACCGAAUAGGGGAGCCGAAGGGAAACCGAGUCUUAACUGGGCGUUAAGUUGCAGGGUAUAGACCCGAAACCCGGUGAUCUAGCCAUGGGCAGGUUGAAGGUUGGGUAACACUAACUGGAGGACCGAACCGACUAAUGUUGAAAAAUUAGCGGAUGACUUGUGGCUGGGGGUGAAAGGCCAAUCAAACCGGGAGAUAGCUGGUUCUC
rnacentral:rRNA from 1 species